rnacentral:tRNA from 1 species
GCCAGUGUGGUGUAGUGUUAGAGUGUUGGACUAUGACUCUGGAGACCAGGGUUUGAUUCCCAGUGCAGCCU